rnacentral:snRNA from 1 species
AGAUGGGAGCUGUCUGGCGUGACAUGGGUCACCCCAUUGACUUCCAGGGUUGGUCUGGCUGGAUAGGCAGAUGUCCCCAUCCUCCCCUGCUGCUCCAUGGACGUAUGUCCCACUCAAAGCUGUGCUUGGUCAAAGAGGACGCCCUCAUUGAACAAAGGAGGACCACUCUUUCAUCAAGGGCUGCCCUCCCCUGCUGAGACUUCCAAACCAGCUCUCCAGAAUCCCCAAGUCCAAGGGCAGAGCCACCCUUCAGUCUGAAACAGCUGGAAGCUUCUGAUAAACAGGGUUUCCCUCU